GCCAUGAUAGUACAAUGGUUAGCAAACUGAACUUACAACCAAAAGGUUGCAGGUUCAAUUCCUGUCCACUGCC
rnacentral:tRNA from 1 species